rnacentral:rRNA from 1 species
GACAGAGGUGCCAAGCGUUAGGCGGAAUCACUGGGCUUAAAGCGUGUGUAGGCGGACUUGUAAGUACCUUGUGAAAUCCCACGGCUCACCCGUGGAACUGCUGGGUAUACUGCGAGUCUUGAGCCACUUAGGGGCUGUCGGAACAGGCGGUGGAGCGGUGAAAUGCGUAGAUAUCGCCUGGAACGCCAAAGGUGAAAACAGACAGCUGGGAGUGUGCUAACGCUGAGACACGAAAGCCAGGGGAGCGAACGGG